UGCCCUUAUCGACAACCUGAGCCU
rnacentral:siRNA from 1 species